CGCCUCUUGCAAAACGAACGAAUAAGAGGUCCCGCCUGCCCUGUGACUAUAUGUUUAACGGCCGCGGUAUUUUGACCGUGCGAAGGUAGCGCAAUCACUUGUCUCUUAAAUGGAGACCUGUAUGAAAGGCACCACGAGGGCUUGACUGUCUCCCCUUUAAAGUCAGUGAAAUUGAUCUCCCCGUGCAGAAGCGGGGAUUUGCUCGUAAGACGAGAAGACCCUAUGGAGCUUAAGAUAUAAGGCGACCCAAGUCAAAGACCCCUUCAAAGGAACCGAACAAUAUGGACCUCCGCCGAAAUAUCUUCGGUUGGGGCGACCGCGGGGAAAGACCAAACCCCCACAUGGACCGGGGCCACAAAGCCUCAAAACCUAGACCCACAGGUCAAAGCAGCAGUAUUUCUGACCACUAAAGAGCCGGCAAUGCCGAUCGACGGACCGAGUUACCCUAGGGAUAACAGCGCAAUCCCCUCCCAGAGCCCUUAUCGACGAGGGGGUUUACGACCUCGAUGUUGGAUCAGGACAUCCUAAUGGUGCAGCCGCUAUUAAGGGUUCGUUUGUUCAACGAUUAACAGUCCUACGU
rnacentral:rRNA from 1 species